CAGUAGCCGCGGGAAUACGUAGGGUGCGAGCGUUAAUCGGAAUUACUGGGCGUAAAGCGUGCGCAGGCGGUUGUGUAAGACAGGUGUGAAAUCCCCGGGCUUAACCUGGGAACUGCGCUUGUGACUGCACAGCUAGAGUAUGGCAGAGGGGGGUGGAAUUCCACGUGUAGCAGUGAAAUGCGUAGAGAUGUGGAGGAACACCGAUGGCGAAGGCAGCCCCCUGGGCCAAUACUGACGCUCAUGCACGAAAGCGUGGGGAGCAAACAGGAUUAGAUACCCGUGUAGUCCCUGUCUCUUAUAA
rnacentral:rRNA from 1 species